rnacentral:rRNA from 1 species
CUUAAUCCUAAAGGGCGUGAAAUAAGCAUAAUCGGAUACCGUUUAAUUGACGGGGAGUUGAAUGGAUUUACGAGUGACAAUCUGUCUUUUUCUAAGAAUAAAUGAAUUAGAAGUAUAAGUGAAGAUGCUUAUUAAAACAAAAAGACGAAAAGACCCCGUGAAGCUUAACUAUAAGUCAACUAGAGAAAAGAAAUUUCUUCUUAGUUGAAAGGGUAGUUUUGGUGGGGUGCCAGUACGUUAAAAAGAACAUGAAGUUAAUUUAGUAAGACUAAUAACUAGUGUAAUAAACAAAUUUACGCAGAGGAGAAAACCGAUAAAGUGACCCGACUAAGGUUUAAGAUUAAGUCGACAAAGAAUAAUAGCUACUCCGGGGAUAACAGG